rnacentral:lncRNA from 1 species
GUAGAACUAGUGCUUAAAAUACAGUGCUCAAAAUACAGUGCCUUGUGAUUUGAAGUAGAAUUAUUCAAAUUAAUGCCCCUUCUCUAUUUAUUGCAGUAGACUGGUAAUGCCCCUCCUGAAUUUAGUCCUAAAUUUUUGUAUAAACUCGUUAUAAUUAUCGAAAGAAUGAAACACAAAUACCACCAUGAACACAAUUAGCACCAUAAACAUUCGUUAUAAUUAUCGAACGAAGUUGAAUUCGAAUUCGAAUGAGAAAAUUAGAAACAAAAUUAGUACAAUUAGAAACACAAUCAAUUACUUGCAAAAUUAGUACAAUCAUUGAAUUCGAAUGAGAAAAUUAGCAACAAAACUAGCAACAAAAUUCGUUAUAAUUGAAUUGGAAUGAGAAAAGCAUCUGGGCUCAUGGUUUGGACCACAUGAGACUCACCUCGUCAACUCACUCAACAACUGAGUUGACUCGCUUCCAUGCUUCGAGUAAACAACUGAGUUGACUCGCUUCCACCAUGUUUCGUUAUCUCGAACGAAGCUUCGAGACUCACCAUGCUUAAUCAACUGAGUUCUCCUACAAUAAAUCUCGAACAAAAUUAGAAACAAUUCAUGGAUUUAUAUUCAAUCAAUUGUAAACCACAGAAAUUGAAUAUUUAUUAACGAUUGUCGAAUUCGAAGGCUUUCAACAAUCCAUGGAUUAGAUUAUUGAUUUAGGAGCCUCGAUUUCGUUUUGGAUUUGCGAAGAGGGGAAGAGAGGCGAAGAGAGGGGAUGAAAUUGAAAAAUGAAAGAAGAGAGAGAAGAGGAAAAAUGAAAGAAGAGAAGAGGAAAAAUGAAAGAAGAAGAUAAAAUUGAGAAAAUGAAAAAAGAGG